UCCCCGGCCCAUUUGCCCUGGUUUAGCCCACCUGUGCAUUUGGAUGCCCGCGAGGCAUUGUUUCCGCGUCCUUUCCGCGUUCGUCGCCGGGAGAGAAUUCCACUAGUCGAGACAUGGGGAACUAGAUCCGCGACUUGGUCUCGCGAUUGGGAGGCGGCCACACCGAUGCUCGCGAUCUCCUCAUCCCCCGGCGACAGCCAUCCGCCGUCCACCACCUCCGUCCUCCGCAGUCCGAGGUCUCCUCCUCCUUCCGAGCUCUCCGCCGGCCGGCUUCGCUCAGGCUCUCCUCCGCUCGCCUUCGUCCAAUAUCUCCGUCCGGUCCAAGACCACCGUCCAAGCUCGUCUACAAAGGUUAUCCCCUUCAUCAAAUUUGCUCCAGAUCUUGCUCGUUUCUCUAGGUCUAUCUCCAGAUUGCCACAAAUCCACAAAGUUUAUCCGGAUCUCGCUUGUUUCUUUAGGUCAAGAACGUGAGCAGGAUGUUUGCCAAUUUUGAUGCCUGCUUAGUUGUGUCUUGCAAAUUACUGAAGGUUUUGAAAGCCAUUAUUUCUGCUAUCAUUAAUCGCUGUGGUUGUUAGCAUUACAUCUGUUGCUGCUUAUAACAUCGAUGAAUUGUAACUUUAUUAGUGAUGCCUGAACCAAAAUACUGGACUGCCUUGUGAUCUUAAGACUCAUUGUAAUGUGUGCAAUCAUACUAUGAACUAGAUGAUACCCCACGCGUUGCUGCGGAAAAUUUAUGGAAUAAAUUUGCGAAACGUGAAA